UAUCAUUAUUUUUAUUGUACAUUAUUAUUUUUUAAGUGUAGACCUAUGUUAUAUGUAUUAUAUAAUAUUAUUAUUACACACUUGUAUUAUAUUAUUGUACAUUUUAUUCAGAUACGGUUACAAGCCAUUUCCCCACCAGUCCUAGCAGGACUCAGUAAUCUUCCACAUUUAUGUACUGUAUGGUGGCUUAUUUGAAAUUUUUUAUGAAAAUUAUUAAAUUAUGAAUAUUUAAUAUUGUUUUUUUUUCUUCUUUUUGUUGGAUUAGCGUGUGAUAAAGAAUAGAAUAGACAUUUUGCAGCUAAGCUGCCUGACCAGUCUUUCCAUAGAAACAAUAAUGAUGACUUGGUUAAAUCUUCUUGCAAAAGUGCAGUCUUUACAUGUGCUAUCUUGUUACAGGAAAGCAUCAGGUGAAAAGAAAAGGGCUUCAGCGCAACAGAGGCUGGCAAAGCAUAGGGCAACAGUUUACAGCGAUCCAAUCUUACAUGAGGAACACAAAAGGAAAGAGAGAGAAAGGUAUCAAAAACGUAAGGAAGCUGGUAAACUUAAAACUACUAAAGAUCUGACAAGCAAACAGCUCGAAAGAAGAAAGCAACAAUGGCGGUAGAACUCACAAAAUUAUUACAAAAGAAAAAAGCAGCAGCAAG